CCCGGCAGCCCCGCGGAAGGGAAGGUCCCCAAGCUGUUCACAGAGGUGGAAGUGAGUUCCCAGAGGGACCCCUGUCCCCCUGAAAACCCCGAGUCUCCCGGGAGGAGCUCCCUGCAGGUGGCUGGAAGGAAUCCUGCCGCGACGAAGCCACCGAAGAACCCCAGGCCUGAGGAGCAGGACGGGGAGGACACGGAGAGGAGGAAGAGGAGGAG